GAUGAACGCUGGCGGCGUGCCUAAUACAUGCAAGUCGAGCGAACGGACGAGAAGCUUGCUUUUCUGAUGUUAGCGGCGGACGGGUGAGUAACACGUGGAUAACCUACCUAUAGGACUGGGAUAACUUCGGGAAACCGGAGCUAAUACCGGAUAAUAUUUUGAACCGCAUGGUUCAAAAGUGAAAGACGGUCUUGCUGUCACUUAUAGAUGGAUCCGCGCUGCAUUAGCUAGUUGGUAAGGUAACGGCUUACCAAGGCAACGAUGCAUAGCCGACCUGAGAGGGUGAUCGGCCACACUGGAACUGAGACACGGUCGAGACUCCUACGAGAGGCAGCAGUAGGGAAUCUUCCGCAAUGGGCGAAAGCCUGACGGAGCAAAGCCGCGUGAGUGAUGAAGGUCUUCGGAUCGUAAAACUCUGUUAUUAGGGAAGAACAUAUGUGUAAGUAACUGUGCACAGCUUGACGGUACCUAAUCAGAAAGCCACGGCUAACUACGUG
rnacentral:rRNA from 1 species